CAGUUCCUGAAGCCUGUGGUAGUAAUAAUUAGCAGUGGCACACUGGCACCACUUGGCACAUAAUUAGAGUCAUAAGUAACUGAGAUUUUUUUCCCAGGAAGCCAUCCCGUCAGAGGCGUUCAAGUGAUGAAAGUUGGCAAACUGCAGCUACAUCAAGGCAUGUUUCCCCAAGCAAUGAAGAAUCUGAGACUGGCUUUUGAUAUUAUGAGAGUGACACAUGGCAGAGAACACAGCCUGAUUGAAGAUUUGAUUCUACUUUUAGAAGAAUGCGACGCCAACAUCAGAGCAUCCUAAGGGAACGCAGUCAGAGGGAAAGAUGGCGUGUGUCUUUGUUGAAUGCCUUAUUGAGGUCACACACUCUAUACUUUGUUAGCUGUGUGAACCUCUCCUAUUGGAAAUUCUGUUCUGUGUUUGUGUAGGUAAAUAAAGGCAGACAUGGUUUGCAAACCACAAGAAUCAUUAGUUGUAGAGAAGCACAAUUAUAAUAAAUUCAAAACAUUUGGUUGAGGAUGCCG
rnacentral:sRNA from 1 species